rnacentral:rRNA from 1 species
UACAGAGGGUGCGAACGUUGCUCGGAAUUACUGGGCGUAAAGCGCGUGUAGGCGGGGUCGCAAGGCAGGUGUGAAAUCCCCGGGCUCAACCCGGGAACUGCACCUGAAACUGCGAUCCUUGAGUACUGGAGAGGGUGGCGGAAUUCCUGGUGUAGAGGUGAAAUUCGUAGAUAUCAGGAGGAACACCGGUGGCGAAGGCGGCCACCUGGACAGUUACUGACGCUGAGACGCGAAAGCGUGGGGAGCAAACAGG